GAUGAACGCUGGCGGCGUGCUUAACACAUGCAAGUCGAACGGAGGUAAAAAGAGUGAAGGAGCAGUUUACUGAGCCGGAGCAUUUUUACCUUAGUGGCGGACGGGUGAGUGACGCGUGGGUAACCUGCCCCAUACCGGGGGAUAACACUUAGAAAUAGGUGCUAAUACCGCAUAAUAAGGAUAAGCGCAUGCUUAUGCUUUGAAAACUCCGGUGGUAUGGGAUGGACCCGCGUCUGAUUAGCUGAUUGGCGGGGUAACGGCCCACCAAGGCGACGAUCAGUAGCCGGCCUGAGAGGGUGGACGGCCACAUUGGGACUGAGACACGGCCCAAACUCCUACGGGAGGCAGCAGUGGGGAAUAUUGCACAAUGGGGGAAACCCUGAUGCAGCGACGCCGCGUGAGUGAAGAAGUAUCUCGGUAUGUAAGCUCCUAUCAGCAGGGAAGAAAAUGACGGUACCUGACUAAGAAGCCCCGGCUAACUACGUG
rnacentral:rRNA from 1 species